rnacentral:rRNA from 1 species
UAGUCCACGCCGUAAACGAUGGAUACUAGCUGUUCGGAACUUGUUCUGAGUGGCUAAGCGAAAGUGAUAAGUAUCCCACCUGGGGAGUACGUUCGCAAGAAUGAAACUCAAAGGAAUUGACGGGGGCCCGCACAAGCGGUGGAACAUGUGGUUUAAUUCGAUGAUACGCGAGGAACCUUACCAGGGCUUAAAUGUAGAGUGACAGAUUUGGAAACAGAUUUUUCUUCGGACACUUUACAAGGUGCUGCAUGGUUGUCGUCAGCUCGUGCCGUGAGGUGUCAGGUUAAGUCCUAUAACGAGCGCAACCCCUGUUGUUAGUUGCCAGCACAUUAUGGUGGGAACUCUAACAAGACUGCCGGUGCAAACCGUGAGGAAGGUGGGGAUGACGUCAAAUCAUCACGGCCCUUACGUCCUGGGCUACACACGUGCUACAAUGGCCGUGACAAAGAGUUGCUACUUUGUGGAAACAAGCUAAAUCUCAUAAAACGCGGCCUCAGUUCGGAUUGCAGGCUGAAA